AUUGUCCGGGCCCCACGAUCAUGGCUUAUAGCGUAAACGCUUUGUUCGUUCGGCUCGCGCGACUU
ncrna:Saccoglossus kowalevskii microRNA sko-mir-375 precursor